rnacentral:rRNA from 1 species
CGGCACGGGUGAGUAACACGUAUCCAACCUGCCGUCUACUCUUGGACAGCCUUCUGAAAGAAAGAUUAAUACAAGAUGGCAUCAUGAGUCCGCAUGUUCACAUGAUUAAAGGUAUUCCGGUAGACGAUGGGGAUGCGUUCCAUUAGAUAGUAGGCGGGGUAACGGCCCACCUAGUCUUCGAUGGAUAGGGGUUCUGAGAGGAAGGUCCCCCACAUUGGAACUGAGACACGGUCCAA